UGGGGAAUAUUGGACAAUGGGGGCAACCCUGAUCCAGCCAUGCCGCGUGUGUGAAGAAGGCCUUCGGGUUGUAAAGCACUUUCAGCAGUGAGGAAAGGUGUGCGGUUAAUACCCGUAUGCUGUGACGUUAACUGCAGAAGAAGCACCGGCUAACUCCGUGCCAGCAGCCGCGGUAAUACGGAGGGUGCAAGCGUUAAUCGGAAUUACUGGGCGUAAAGCGCGCGUAGGUGGUUUGGUCAGUCAGAUGUGAAAGCCCCGGGCUUAACCUGGGAAUUGCACCUGAUACUGCCAGACUAGAGUACGGUAGAGGGCAGUGGAAUUUCCGGUGUAGCGGUGAAAUGCGUAGAGAUCGGAAGGAACACCAGUGGCGAAGGCGACUGCCUGGACCGAUACUGACACUGAGGUGCGAAAGCGUGGGUAGCAAACAGGAUUAGAUACCCCGGGUAGUC
rnacentral:rRNA from 1 species